UACGGGGGGGGCAAGCGUUGUUCGGAAUUACUGGGCGUAAAGGGUGCGUAGGCGGCGUGGUAAGUCGGGUGUGAAAUCUCGGAGCUUAACUCCGAAACUGCAUUCGAUACUGCCGUGCUUGAGGACUGGAGAGGAGACUGGAAUUUACGGUGUAGCGGUGAAAUGCGUAGAUAUCGUAAGGAAGACCAGUGGCGAAGGCGGCAUCCUGGACCAACACUGACGCUGAGUGAGCGAAAGCCAGGGGAGCAAACGGG
rnacentral:rRNA from 1 species